GGCGGACGGGUGAGUAAUACUUAGGAAUCUGCCCAGUAGUGGGGGACAACUCGAGGAAACUCGAGCUAAUACCGCNUACGCCCUAAGGGGGAAAGCGGGGGAUCUUCGGACCUCGCGCUAUUGGAUGAGCCUAAGUCGGAUUAGCUUGUUGGUAGGGUAACGGCCUACCAAGGCGACGAUCCGUAGCUGGUCUGAGAGGACGAUCAGCCACACUGGGACUGAGACACGGCCCAGACUCCUACGGGAGGCAGCAGUGGGGAAUAUUGGACAAUGGGCGCAAGCCUGAUCCAGCAAUGCCGCGUGUGUGAAGAAGGCCUGCGGGUUGUAGAGCACUUUCAGUAGAGAAGAAAAGCUUAAGGUUAAUACCCUUGAGUCUUGACGUAACCUAC
rnacentral:rRNA from 1 species